UACGUAGGAUCCAAGCGUUGUCCGGAUUUACUGGGUGUAAAGGGUGCGCAGGCGGACUUAUAAGUCAGUGGUGAAAUCUCACAGCUUAACUGUGAAACUGCCUUUGAUACUGUAGGUCUUGAAUUAGGGAGAGAUUCGUGGAAUUCCGAGUGUAGCAGUGAAAUGUGUAGAUAUUCGGAAGAACACCGGUGGCGAAGGCGGCUCUCUGGACCGAUACUGACGCUGAGGCGCGAAAGCGUGGGGAGCAAACAGG
rnacentral:rRNA from 1 species